GAUGAACGCUGGCGGCGUGCUUAACACAUGCAAGUCGACCGGAAAGGCUCCUGCUUGCAGGGGUACUCGAGUGGCGAACGGGUGAGUAACACGUGGGUGAUCUGCCCUGCACUUCGGGAUAAGCCUGGGAAACUGGGUCUAAUACCGGAUAGGACCACAUUUUGGAUGGUGUGGUGGAAAGUUUUUCGGUGUGGGAUGAGCUCGCGGCCUAUCAGCUUGUUGGUGGGGUAAUGGCCCACCAAGGCGUCGACGGGUAGCCGGCCUGAGAGGGUGUACGGCCACAUUGGGACUGAGAUACGGCCCAGACUCCUACGGGAGGCAGCAGUGGGGAAUAUUGCACAAUGGGCGCAAGCCUGAUGCAGCGACGCCGCGUGGGGGAUGACGGCCUUCGGGUUGUAAACUCCUUUCGCUAGGGACGAAGCGUUUUUGUGACGGUACCUGGAGAAGAAGCACCGGCUAACUACGUG
rnacentral:rRNA from 1 species